GAUGAACGCUGGCGGCGUGCCUAAUACAUGCAAGUCGAGCGAACAGACGAGGAGCUUGCUCCUCUGACGUUAGCGGCGGACGGGUGAGUAACACGUGGAUAACCUACCUAUAAGACUGGGAUAACUUCGGGAAACCGGAGCUAAUACCGGAUAACAUGUUGAACCGCAUGGUUCAACAGUGAAAGACGGUCUUGCUGUCACUUAUAGAUGGAUCCGCGCCGCAUUAGCUAGUUGGUAAGGUAACGGCUUACCAAGGCAACGAUGCGUAGCCGACCUGAGAGGGUGAUCGGCCACACUGGAACUGAGACACGGUCCAGACUCCUACGGGAGGCAGCAGUAGGGAAUCUUCCGCAAUGGGCGAAAGCCUGACGGAGCAACGCCGCGUGAGUGAAGAAGGUCUUCGGAUCGUAAAACUCUGUUAUUAGGGAAGAACAUAUGUGUAAGUAACUAUGCACGUCUUGACGGUACCUAAUCAGAAAGCCACGGCUAACUACGUG
rnacentral:rRNA from 1 species